CCCUUCUCAGCGUCGCACCUGGAGAAUUUCCAGUACUCUACCAGUUUUGGCUAAGGGAAGAAGAAUCAAGCAGAGGCAUACCCAUUCCAUUACUAGCUUGACCACUGGCUAGCGAGUGGAAGACAAUCAGCUACAAGU